rnacentral:rRNA from 1 species
UACAGAGGUCUCAAGCGUUGUUCGGAUUCAUUGGGCGUAAAGGGUGCGUAGGCGGCGCGGUAAGUCGGGUGUGAAAUCUCGGAGCUUAACUCCGAAACUGCAUUCGAUACUGCCGUGCUUGAGGACUGGAGAGGAGACUGGAAUUUACGGUGUAGCGGUGAAAUGCGUAGAUAUCGUAAGGAAGACCAGUGGCGAAGGCGGGUCUCUGGACAGUUCCUGACGCUGAGGACGAAGGCCAGGGGAGCAAACGGG